rnacentral:rRNA from 1 species
ACUUAUAUUCUGUAGCAAGGUUAACCGAAUAGGGGAGCCGGAGGGAAACCGAGUCUUAAUUGGGCGUUAAGUUGCAGGGUAUAGACCCGAAACCCGGUGAUCUAGCCAUGGGCAGGUUGAAGGUUGGGUAACACUAACUGGAGGACCGAACCGACUAAUGUUGAAAAAUUAGCGGAUGACCUGUGGCUGGGGGUGAAAGGCCAAUCAAACCGGGAGAUAGCUGGUUCUCCCCGAAAGCUAUUUAGGUAGCGCCUCGUGAAUUCAUCUCCGGGGGUAGAGCACUGUUUCGGCUAGGGGGCCAUCCCGGCUUACCAACCCGAUGCAAACUGCGAAUACCGGAGAAUGUUAUCACGGGAGACACACGGCGGGUGCUAACGUCCGUCGUGAAGAGGGAAACAACCCAGACCGCCAGCUAAGGUCCCAAAGUCAUAGUUAAGUGGGAAACGAUGUGGGAAGGCCCAGACAGCCAGGAUGUUGGCUUAGAAGCAGCCAUCAUUUAAAGAAAGCGUAAUAGCUCACUGGUCGAGUCGGCCUGCGCGGAAGAUGUAACGGGGCUAAACUAUGCACCGAAGCUGCGGCAGCGACACUAUGUGUUGUUGGGUAGGGGAGCGUUCUGUAAGCCUGUGAAGGUGUGUCGUGAGGCAUGCUGGAGGUAUCAGAAGUGCGAAUGCUGACAUAAGUAACGAUAAAGCGGGUGAAAAGCCCGCUCGCCGGAAGACCAAGGGUUCCUGUCCAACGUUAAUCGGGGCAGGGUGAGUCGACCCCUAAGGCGAGGCCGAAAGGCGUAGUCGAUGGGAAACGGGUUAAUAUUCCCGUACUUGGUGUUACUGCGAAGGGGGGACGGAGAAGGCUAUGUUGGCCGGGCGACGGUUGUCCCGGUUUAAGCGUGUAGGUGUGUGUUCCAGGUAAAUCCGGUUCACUUUAACACUGAGGCGUGA